UGCAAACAUCAAAUACUGUAUACUUCUAUCUUUGAUGAGUUAAUCUUAAACUCUACAAGAAACAGAACUGCUAUAAAAAGGUUUCGUUGAACUUGAGUCCUCACUAACUGCUUCAGAUCCCUCAGGAGUUGCACUAGGGGAAGACCGACUUGGAACUGGAAUUUCUAUGGAUGAUCCUGAAUUUCCUAGACAGGUGGGAACUGUGGGUGAUCUUGACAUAUCUGAUGGUGAUUGCUGAUCCAAAGCAUUCGGGACGGAGCUACUUCUGGUCUUUGUCU